rnacentral:rRNA from 1 species
UACGUAUGGGGCAAGCGUUAUCCGGAAUUACUGGGUGUAAAGGGAGCGCAGGCGGUACGGCAAGUCAGAAGUGAAAGCCUGGGGCUCAACCCCGGAAUUGCUUUUGAAACUGUCGGACUAGAGUGUCGGAGGGGUAAGCGGAAUUCCUAGUGUAGCGGUGAAAUGCGUAGAUAUUAGGAGGAACACCGGUGGCGAAGGCGGCUUACUGGACGACCACUGACGCUGAGGCUCGAAAGCGUGGGGAGCAAACAGG